rnacentral:rRNA from 1 species
UACGGAGGGUGCGAGCGUUGUCCGGAAUCACUGGGCGUAAAGGGCGCGUAGGCGGCCUGAUAAGUAGGGGGUGAAAUCCUGCGGCUUAACCGCAGGGCUGCCUUCUAAACUGUCGGGCUCGAGCACAGUAGAGGCAGGUGGAAUUCCCGGUGUAGCGGUGGAAUGCGUAGAGAUCGGGAAGAACAUCAGUGACGAAGGCGGCCUGCUGGGCUGUUGCUGACGCUGAGGCGCGACAGCGUGGGGAGCAAACAGG